UCACCAUGAUGUUUCUGUGCUCCCUGACUGUCUUUAUCAUCGUGAUAGAGAUCUGUGUUUCACAGUCAAUAGAACCACUGGAGAACACAACUCAUGCUCUUGAAAACGAGAAAGUUACUCUCUCCUGCAAAUAUGUGUUUGAUCGUGUUGCAAGCAGUCUACAGUGGUACCGUCAGUAUCCUGGAUCCAGACCAGAGUAUCUACUGAUGUUCAUUCCAGCUACAAAAGCUGUGAGCCAUGCAACUCCACCCUUCCCACGACUGAAUGUUACAGAAAAUAAGAAAACAGUGGAUCUGAUCAUCUCCUCUGCUGCAGUAUCAGACUCUGCACUCUAC